ACGGACCAAGGAGUCUAACGUGCGCGCGAGUCGCGGGGUGUCGAGCGGCGGUCGUGUUUCGGCACGACCGUCGUUCGUUACGACGCGAAACCCGUACCGUUCAUUCGGAAGGCGCAAUGAAAGUGAAAUGGGGAAGAUGGCGUUACCGAGUUCACGUUUCGCGACUCGAUCGCGACCGGUCGCCCGCAUUCCCAGGGCGUCCCAACGGCUCGGCGGCGUUGCGGAUCGUCGUUCCUUCGGGAACGGCGGUCGGGCGUCGUCGGUCCGGGGCGCACCUACAGCGUGCACGUUGGUACCCGAAAGAUGGUGAACUAUGCCCGGCCAGGAUGAAGUCAGGGGAAACCCUGAUGGAGGUCCGCAGCGAUUCUGACGUGCAAAUCGAUCGUCUGAGCUGGGUAUAGGGGCGAAAGACUAAUCGAACCAUCUAGUA
rnacentral:rRNA from 1 species